GAAGCUUCUGUCUGCUGGACUGAAGGAUCCACACUGGAGACUGGAAACUCUCAGGAUGGACCAUGGUGGACUGCAGAGACUGAAACCUGGUCUGAGGAAGUGAGGGAGAGUCUGUCCUGUGGACAGAAACUCUGCUGACUGAAGAUCAGCUGCUGAAAUCAAACAUCACACACUCUGCACUGUGAAGCAGAGCUGUCUCAGACUCAAACACUAAGUUAUUUUUCCUUCUACAUGAUUCAUUGAUUAGUGUCAGUUGACUCUGGUGUUGUUACUGUCAGGAUCCAAUGAGCAGCAUGCAGCUCUAUUCAUGUUUCUA